UUUAUCCAUAGAUAAGGUUACUUUCUGUAAUACUUUUGCCAAUUUGAUGGCAAGUUUAAGUUCCAUGUAUCUAGUUCGCAAAAUAAAAUGCUGGCAGUAUUAAAUUGUUCUUUAGAUGUUUGAUUCAAUUUAUUCUAUAAAUAAAAGUGACACCUUAGAAGUACUGCUGCCAUUUAAAGAAGAAUCAUUACAAUUAAUAGAAUAGUUAUGUUCUAUCAAAACCCUGGAACUCAGCAUGAGAUCAUUACAUGGAUCUUCAAUAUUCAUUAUUGGUUCACAAAUUAAUUCCUAAAAGUUUAUUGAAAAGAUACAAUUCAAAAAUGAGGUUGGACAAGUUAAUGAAAGUCAACUAAUUACUAGUACUAACUAUUAAUUUCAUUAUUAAAUAAACUUUUUUGAUCACAAUAUUUUUAAUUAAUUUUGUAUAAUUCAUUGUCUUGUAAAUAGUUAAAAGCUAAUUUGUACAUAUUUAAUUAACUUAGAAAAAUUAAUAAUACAUUCAAAUAUAGUACAAAUUAUAAAAUGUA